GGCACAAGGACAUAUGCUAUCAACUGUAACUCACACACACAAGGACUGUUAUCACACCGUAUCCUGCUGCCAGUGUUACCCCAAGGGGAUCUCACAUGGCUAGGCAGAGAUGUUCAUCAUGGGCUAGUCCGUGGGCUGAGGUGGGAACUUGCCAGGAAGUCAAUAAGACACCAUUCCAACUCAAAAGCAUGCAAAAAGACAACAAACGGCUCAAAAUAUACACUAUAAACAAAAUGUAAAAAACUAAAAAAAAUAAAAAAAUACUAUAAUAAUAGACUCAUACAACAAAGGAUUAAAAACUUUGUUGUGUGGCAUCUUGAUUAAAUAAAAGGAGGCUGUAGAGGACUGGAGAAGAUAUCGGUUCUGGUUUAUAUCAAAACAAGAGGUUAGCAGGAAUUUUCCAAUGUUUUUUGUUUUGCACAGGCUUUACUCUUUCCCUCUCCAUCCAGAGAACCCGUGGUGGUCCUUCCCUUCUUGGAGGAUCACUAAGAGGAUUUUUCCAGGGCUGUUUUGGCUGAGGUUUUGGUCUCAUUUCUGGCCCAGCGGUUUUAGGCCUUUCUCCAUAUAAGCGGUGAAGACUCAACCUUGUUCUCCUCACCUCAGGACCUCUUCAGUAGUAGAUGGUGAUACUUUAACUACAGUCCAGGCUGAUGCUGAUGUCACCUUUAACACCAGCCCAGCUUCUACCACCUCCGCGGGUGUCUAUAAAGUGGAUAGGUUCAGAGAAUGGGAGCUAUCUGUACUAAUGUGGCAGUCUGAGUCAUCAACACAGGGCCAUUUUCUCGUGUCCUCCCCCAAGCCAGUCCUCAUCCAGCUCCCCGAGGAUCUCCUGGAGGGACAGCUCAGGCAAGGGAGCAUGCUGGACCAGUGAUUGAAAUCCAGACCGCCUGCAACCUUCCAGACCACCCCACGAAACAUCUAGCUGCGAGUAAAGACCGU